rnacentral:rRNA from 1 species
UAGGGAAUAUUGCACAAUGGGCGAAAGCCUGAUGCAGCAACGCCGCGUGCGCGAAGAAGGCCUUCGGGUCGUAAAGCGCUUUUCGGGGAGAUGAGGAAGGACAGUAUCCCCGGAAUAAGGCUCGGCUAACUACGUGCCAGCAGCCGCGGUAACACGUAGGAGCCAAGCGUUAUCCGAAUUCACUGGGCGUAAAGCGCGUGCAGGCGGCACGAUAAGUUGGAUGUGAAAGCUCCUGGCUCAACUGGGAGAGGACGUUCAAUACUGUCGAGCUAGAGGACGGCAGAGGGAGGUGGAAUUCCCGGUGUAGUGGUGAAAUGCGUAGAUAUCGGGAGGAACACCAGUGGCGAAGGCGGCCUUCUGGGCCGUUACUGACGCUCAGACGCGAAAGCUAGGGGAGCGAACGGG